GAUGAACGCUGGCGGCGUGCCUAAUACAUGCAAGUCGAGCGAACGGACGAGAAGCUUGCUUCUCUGAUGUUAGCGGCGGACGGGUGAGUAACACGUGGAUAACCUACCUAUAAGACUGGGAUAACUUCGGGAAACCGGAGCUAAUACCGGAUAAUAUUUUGAACCGCAUGGUUCAAGAGUGAAAGACGGUCUUGCUGUCACUUAUGGAUGGAUCCGCGCUGCAUUAGCUAGUUGGUAAGGUAACGGCUUACCAAGGCAACGAUGCAUAGCCGACCUGAGAGGGUGAUCGGCCACACUGGAACUGAGACACGGUCCAGACUCCUACGGGAGGCAGCAGUAGGGAAUCUUCCGCAAUGGGCGAAAGCCUGACGGAGCAACGCCGCGUGAGUGAUGAAGGUCUUCGGAUCGUAAAACUCUGUUAUUAGCGAAGAACAUAUGUGUAAGUAACUGUGCACAUCUUGACGGUACCUAAUCAGAAAGCCACGGCUAACUACGUG
rnacentral:rRNA from 1 species